GGAGAGGUGUCCGAGUGGCUGAAGGAGCACGCCUGGAAAGUGUGUAUACGUUAAUAGCGUAUCGAGGGUUCGAAUCCCUCCCUCUCCGCCA
rnacentral:tRNA from 25 species